AAUAGGAAGUCUAAGAGCGUAUGGUGGAUGCCUUGACUCCAAAAGGCGAUGAAGGACGUAGCAUGGCUGCGAUAUGCUUCGGGGAGGUGCCUAGCAACCUUUGAUCCGGAGAUUUCCGAAUGGGGAAACCCCAUCAAGUAAACCUUGAUGACUUUCACCGCAAGGUGAGAGCGCGCACCCAGGGAAGUAAAACAUUUCAGUACCUGGAGGAAGAGAAAACAAUUGUCAUUGCGUGAGUAGCGGCGAGCGAAAGCGCAGAAGCCUAAACUGGCCCUUAAUAUUUCGGUGUGCCUUCGGGUGCAUCGGAACAUUAAGGUUCAGGGUUGCAAGGAAUCAGCGUCGCAAUUUAUUGCGAGAAAAGUUACAAAAUUUUGUGUUAGCUGAACAAGCUGGAAAGCUUGGCCCCAGUGGGUGAUAGCCCCGUAAGCGAAAAUUCAAAAUCUUUUUUGCUGGUUUUCUUAAGUACUUCGAGACACGAAUGGCUCGGAGGAAUCUGCCGGAACUAACCGGUAAGGCUAAAUACUUUUGGAGAUCGAUAGUGAACUAGUACCGUGAGGGAAAGGUGAAAAGCAGCCCGGUAAGGGCGAUGAAAUAGACCUGAAACCAUAUGCUUACAAGGAGUUGCAGCGGUUUGCACAGUGUGCAUUUUUAUCUGUUGAAACGUGGGUUCGGACCUCCAUUUAGCUAAAGAGCUGAAAGUUGCACCGUUGCGGUGCAUCACUUGGGGUAACCCGCAAAAGUGGGAGUCUCUGGUUACUCGGAGACUCCCACCCACCUUUCAACAGAUAACAUUAUUAAGUGCACAGUGUGCAAACCGUAGCAGCGUGCCUAUUGAAGAAUGAGCCAACGAGUUGAUGCACGCGGCAAGGCUAAGUCCGCUGGUCGGACGGAGCCGUAGGGAAACCGAGUGUUAAUAGCGCGUCAGUCGCAUGCAUCAGACCCGAAGCCAGAGCGAGCUUGUCAUGAGCAGGGUGAAGUUUGUCGAAAGACAGAUGGAGGCCCGAACGGUUGUGCCGUGCAAUACACUCCGAUGACUUGUGAUAAGAAGUGAAAAGCUAAUCGAGCCUGGUAAUAGCUGGUUCUCUCCGAAAUAGCUUUUGGGCUAGCGUGAAGUGUUCCUUUCAGGGGUAGAGCACUGGAAGGUCCCGACAGGUCGAAAGACCGCGAGACCUAUCAAACUCCGAAUACUGAAAGUCACAGCUUCGCAGUUAGACCGUGGGGGCUAAGCUCCACUGGUCAAAAGGGAAACAGCCCGCACCUCCAUUUAAGGUCCCUAAAUCCAUGCUCAGUGCAUCUCAAGGUGGUGGAAUUUCUCAGACAAUAAGGAUGUAGGCUUAGAAGCAGCCAUCAUUCAAAGAAAGCGUAACAGCUCACUUAUUGAGAGAUUCUGCGCCGAAGAUGAUCGGGGCUUAAGCAUGGUACCGAAACUGAGGACUUGAAAGCUUCAUUGAUAGAAAAAAUUUGUACAUUUGAUUUAUUGGCAGGAUGGGUGUGCCGAAUGGUAAGGCAACGGUCUUGAAAACCGUCGAGCGCAAGCUCAUGCAGGUUCAACUCCUGUCCCAUCCGCCAACUAAUCUCUAGUGUCGGGGCGUAGCGUAGCUUGGUAGCGUGCUGCCCGUCGAGUCGUGGCGUUUGGGGAAUACAAGCCUUCGGCUUGCCAAGUCCUGAAUUCCUGGCAGAGGUCGUUGGUUCAAAUCCAACCGCCCCGACCAAUUGGCUGUAUAGCUCAAUGCACAAGAGCGUCGCCCGCUUAAGGCGAAGACUGUGAGUAAAAAUCUCACAACAGCCACCAAUCUGCCCAUCGUACUCGUUUCGUGAAGAAACGAGUACGAUGGGACUAUCAAUGAAGCUUUCAAGUGGUAGGAGAGUAUUCCACUCUGCUGUGAAGGAGAAGGCGUGAGCCACUCUGGAGCGUGUGGAAGUAAGAAUGUUGGCACAAGUAACCACAAUCCGCGUGUGAAUCGCGGACGCCGAAAGAUCAAGGUUUCCUUGGCAAUGAAGAUCAGCCAAGGGUUAGUCGGCCCUAAGGGGAUGGCGAGAGCCGGACCCGAUGGACACACGGUUAAUAUUCCGUGACUCCUCACUGUUGCGAUUGGGAGGACGGAGUGCAGUAUGUCUCGCACAUUAUUGGAUUUGAUGUUCGUGGUGUCAGGUGGGUGUUCAGGAAAAUCCGGACACACCUUGCCGCAAGGCAGGAACUCCAAGCACAGCGAAAACUUUUCCGCUUCGGCGGAAAGGAAUGAGACAAAGCGCGCUUCCAAGAAAAUUCUCUAAGCAUAAACAGGAAGGAACCGUACCGCAAACCGACACAGGUGAUCACGUCGAGUAGACGUAGGCGAACGAAUGAGAGGUCCCCAAGGAACUCGGCAAAAAAGUGGCCGUAACUUCGGAAUAAGGCCUGCCGCACUGCCGCAAGGCACGUGUGGCCGCAGCGAAAGUAUGCCUGGCAACUGUUUAUCAAAAACACAGCUCCCUGCGAACUCGUAAGAGGAUGUAUAGGGGGUGACACUUGACCAAUGCCAGAAGGUCAAACAAUGACGUUGUGAGAGUCGCAAGAUUUUCAUGGUGAUUGUUGUAAGCCCUGGUGAAUGUCGGCGAUAACUAUAAUCGUCCUAAGGUAGCGAAAUUCCUUGUCGGGUAGGAACUGCCCAACUUGAUAGUGAUAUCAAGAUAAAACUGGCUUAUAACGGUGGAGUCCUCGCUGGAGCGCUUAAGGAGGCGCGAUGAAGGCAGGAGAAUACCGUGGGAAGUCGUCCUGAGAUAUAUCGAAGGAUUGACCCCGUAUCGACUUAGGUCACCACUAACCAGUGGCGACCUAGAUGGAUAUAUUCUAUAAUAUAUCCAUAACACGCCAGCUCUAAUGAAGAACAUGGGAGAAUAUAUUUCGGGAUAUGUUGAUGGAGAAGGUUGCUUUUCCGUAUCAUUUUCUCGAAGAAGUAAAAUGCUUGUAGGUUGGGAAACAAAACCUAGUUUUUCUAUCAGUCAAAAUCAAGAUAGAGCAGAAGUGCUGUAUCUGAUCAAAAAGAGAUUUGAUUGCGGAUUUAUUAGGAGAGAUUUUAGCGAUAAAACGUUGAAAUAUGAAGUGAGAAGCUUGGUUGACCUAAUAAACAAAGUCAACCCUCAUUUCGAGAAGUUCCCCCUUCUUUCAUCCAAGCAAAAUGAUUUUCUAAAAUUUAGAAAAAUUUGUUUGCUAAUGAAAAAAGAAACUCAUAAGCAGGCCGAUGGGUUGAAAGCGAUUAUGAAAAUUGCUUUUACAAUGAAUCCCGGAGGUAAACGAAAAUAUACUCAACUAAACAUUCUUAAGUCAUUAGAUGAAGAUAUAGUCAGUGCCACUAGAAAUAGUGGAAGGAAUAUGAAGUUCCGACGCGCACGAAUAGUGUAAUGACUGGGCAACUGUCUCGGGGACUCGUUCGGUGAAAAUACAGUACCGGUGAAGAUGCCGGUUACCUGCAGUUAGACGAAAAGACCCCAGAAGCUUUACUACAACUUGGUAUUGCAUACACAUUUUGACUGCGUAGCGUAGACGGUAGGAUUUGAAGUGUCGCUUUCGGGUGGCAUGGAUCCGACGAUGAAACACCGUUCUGUUUUGAUUUGUAUGCUAACCCCGUCGGCAAAAACGACGAGAGACAGUACCUGGUGGGUAGUUUUGGUGGGGCGCUACCCUCCUAAAAAGUAACGGAGGGGUUCAUUAAGGUCAGCUAGGCGCGAAUGGAAACCGUGCCGAUAGUGUAUAGGCACAAGCUGGCUUAACUGUGAGGGGGACAUCCCAAGCAGAUGCGAAAGCAGGACUAAGUGAUCCGACGGUACGCAUUAGACGCGGCCGGAGCUCAUCGGACAAAAGCUACUCUGGGGAUAACAGGCUAGUUCCGCCUAAGAGUCCAUAUCGACGGCGGAGUUCGGCACCUCAAAUUUCGGGGUUCCAUACAAGUAAUUGUAUUAGCCGUUUUGGCGUAGUUUAUUGGAGUUGAACCCAAUUACGCUAGAACAAAACUAUUGGCUUAUAACGGUGGACUCCAUGGGUAAAUAAUCCAUGGACAAUACCGUGGGAAGUCGUCAGCUUUUUGCUGAUUGACCCCGUAGAGACUUGACCAUUCAGGUCAGAGUUCGAAUAAUUUAUUAUUCGGGCUAAAACGCCAACGCCUUUGUGUUUUACGCAAAGGAUGAAGAUAUAGUCCAUACCACUCCAAAGAUCUGAAAAUUAUUUUCAGAUCGCGGGGCUCGACCUCUUUGAGGCACGAGUUAGUAAUAAUGGGGAAAUAUACGAUGUCGGCUCAACUUAUCCUGGGGCUGGAGAAGGUCCCAAGGGUUUGGCUGUUCGCCAAUUAAAAAGUUACGUGAGCUGGGUUCAGACCGUCGCGAGACAGGUUGGUCUCCUAUCUACUGCAGGCGUUGAUUCUUGAGAAGAUUCUUUAGUAGUACGAGAGGACCCUAAAGACCUGACCUCUGGUCUAUCGGUUGUUCUGCCAAGAGCAUUGCCGAGUAGCUAUGUCGGGAACGGAUAAGUUCUGAAAGCAUCUAAGAGCGAAGCCGUCUUCAAGAUUAGGAAUCGUUGAGACUCGUGGAAGAUGACCACGUUGAUAGGUUCUAGGUGUACGCACAGUAAUGUGUUAAGCCGAGGAAUACUAAUUCGUCGAAUCUUCCUAUUAG
rfam:Candidatus Taylorbacteria bacterium RIFCSPHIGHO2_01_FTLL_46_22b rifcsphigho2_01_scaffold_1060, whole genome shotgun sequence.